CCUAAUGGGUGCGGUCACGUUAGAUCGAGACGAGCUGGGACAGUGUUUCGGGCUGAGUUUGCUGUCGUGGACGAAGCAUGCAGGGGCCCGACAAUGUGGGGCGUGUCACCUACGCUCACGGCGCAAGGAUGUCUGAACGGCAGUGACAAGUCAGUGAAGACACACACGUAACCUUGCCUGUGCUCUGCCCUGGGCCGCAGAAUUCCACCCACGGAGCUCAGGGCAGAGCCUCCGGCCCAUGCAGAAGAGGCCGCGUUCCUGCCGGUGCCACAAUCGGCCUUGCCUCCCCCUACGCGGGAGCACCCCGCCGUCCCCCUGCACACAGGUGCCUCCUGGGUCCUGCUGGCCUCUCCCCACCUAGCAGGUCCAGACCCCACUUGUCUGCUUUCCUCUGGAGCCCCCAGUCUCGUGAACAUACGCGGCAGGAGACAGCUGGCGGGAACCGUGUGACAAGCACCAGGGCACCGCGCGGGGCCUGACGCGCACAGACGUGUGUGUAAUCCAGAAUUCCGGAGCGGUGGGAAUCACGGUCUUCCCAGGGAGUGGCAGAGGCCCUGGGGCCGGGGUGGGGGCUGGCGAGGGCUGCAUAGACCCGGAGGACUGUGCGGCAGGAGGCGCCCCACGAUCCAGCCUGAGGAUGGGCCGGACACCCUGAGUGCUGUCUCAAGGCGGGACUCCCAUUUCCAGCAAAGUCUGCAACAGCAGUGCCAUGGAGUAAUGGAGAACAGAUGGAAAAUCCGGGGAGACGCUGGGAGCACCAGGGGUCGGAGUUGAGGAGCAUUUCUGGAAAGAGAAUAAAGGAGGAAGAAACUGGGGCCCAGAGGGUUGCCAGGGCUUCCCACCAGAGCCUCUUUUCCAAAUUGAGCCCCAUCUUGUCCUCAUAAAUGGAUCAGUGAAGACUUCUUCCGUUGGUCCUGGAAUCACUGGUGCUUUCUCCUGACUGAAUCAAAGGAAUCUCUGGUUGAUGAAAACAUUCUGAAUUAUAUUGUGAUGAUGGCCGAACUCUCUCAUCACACUGAAACCGCUGAACUGCAUCCUUUAAAAGGGAGCCGUGUCUAGCAAGAAGUUGGUACAGCCAGUGACAAACAGGUUACUUGCCUGUGUUCUCCUCUAGGACUUUGAUGGUUUCCUGUGUCACAUGACUCAGGGAUCCUGCGGCUACCAGUUUGCUUGGUGACGUGAAGGCCAGCGAUGACUCUCACCCGGGGAAACCUUCCACCGAGCUGCACUGUGCAGACGAUGCAAUCAGAGCUUCUGUGGGGGUGACGUGCGGCAGCGGCUCCAGACAGAAACAUUGGAUCAGCAGUUGGACUCGGUUUUCUGCGAUAGAGUUGUUCGCCCGGCGGUCACAGGAACCACACCCUACUCUCCGUCCUGGCCUUCCCCGCAUUUUCACAUAAGGAGAAUAGAUGAAGAAUGACAAACAUGAAGUCGGGAAAUGUGCAAAAAUGUGAAUCGUGCCAAAGAUUCAGCUCUCUGGAAGAACAGAUGCCCUGGAGAUCUCUUCUGGAGCAGAGACAGUCCUUCUGUAGCACAGUGGCCCCAGAGAGGGAUCACAAGCAGGCAGAGAGGCAGGCAGAGAGAGAGGAGGAAGCAGGCUCCCUGCUGAGCAGAGAGCCCGACAUGGGCUCGAUUCCAGGACACUGGGACCAUGACCUGAGCCGAAGGCAGAGGCCUCAACCCACUGAGCCACCCAGGCGCCCCUUUCUGGGUCUUUUUAAAUCAACUUUAUGUUAAUUAGCUGGGAACUAAUAUUUCAAGUGCAUUUGAGCAUAUAUAAAUGCAUUGUGUUGUAUGUGUGUGUGGAGGGGCAAUAAAUAUGACCAAUUAAAAAAAAAAAAAUCUGCUGCCUCUUGCCCAGAAUCUAAGAGAAACAGAGGAAUGGAGCUCCAGACCCAGAAGCAAGCACUCAGCUACCCCAGAGUCCAUCCAUAUUUUCCUCUUGGGUUCAAACCUCUCCUCUCCUUUGCCUGCUCAUGGUGUUGGAUGGGUUACAUGGGCUCUCUGCCCUUCACCUUCCCUGUCUGUAAAGAGGAAUAACACCCCUCCUUGCAGGGGUGAGGAGGAAGAACGAGCUAUGGCACAGUGCCAGGUUCACAGGACCCUCCCCCAGCAGAGCUAUGGUAAUGGAAGCAGCAGCUCCUGGGCCCAAAGUUCUCACCCCUCAUACCAGAUACCCUCCGUGCAGCACGAAGGAGUGAGGUCAUCCAGAGUGUUUACCAAUGCCCUGGAGAAGGUCCCAACAUCAGCUUCUCACGCUGGGGUUCCACAGGCUUGCUCCCCGUGUAGAACUGUGCCGAUAAGCAGCCCCUGGAUUUUCCCGGCUGCUCCUUUUGAAAGAUCACACUUUGUUUCUUCCCUCAGUGGCCUUGAUCAUUUAUUUUCAUUGUAAGGCGUGUGAUGGUUAAGUUUAUGUGUCAUCUCCACUAGUGUGUCUGGAUACUUGGUUAACUAUGAUUCUGGGUGUUUUCUGCACGAGAUAAACAUUUAAACCAGCAGACUGAGUAAGGGAGACGGCUUCAUCCGUUUGUGCCUGAGUAGAGCACAAAGCCAAGAAGGGAGACAUCCCUCUGCCUGACUGUCGCUGAGCUGGGGCACGGCCUUCUGCUGCCUCAGGAGCCGACGCAGACAGAAUCCAUGCCACCAGCUCCCAGGUCUCCAGCAUGCCCACAGCAGGUCAGGGACUUCCCGGACUCCAGUCACGUGAGUCAACUCCUUAUAAUAAAUCUCUGUAUGUCCUGUCAACCCUGUUUCUCUAGAGAACCC